rnacentral:rRNA from 1 species
UACGGAGGGUGCAAGCGUUAUCCGGAUUCACUGGGUUUAAAGGGUGCGUAGGCGGCUUAAUAAGUCAUUGGUGAAAGCUCGCAGCUCAACUGCGAAACUGCCAUUGAAACUGUUUAGCUUGAAUGUGGUUGAAGUGGGCGGAAUACAACAUGUAGCGGUGAAAUGCUUAGAUAUGUUUUAGAACACCGACUGCGAAGGCAGCUCACUAAGCCAAUAUUGACGCUGAGGCACGAAAGCGUGGGUAGCAAACAGG